CCUACGGGUGGCAGCAGUGGGGAAUAUUGGACAAUGGGCGAAAGCCUGAUCCAGCCAUGCCGCGUGUGUGAAGAAGGCCUUCGGGUUGUAAAGCACUUUCAGUGGGGAAGAAAGCCUUGGGGCUAAUACCCUCGAGGAAGGACAUCACCCACAGAAGAAGCACCGGCUAACUCCGUGCCAGCAGCCGCGGUAAUACGGAGGGUGCGAGCGUUAAUCGGAAUUACUGGGCGUAAAGCGCGCGUAGGCGGUCUGAUAAGCCGGUUGUGAAAGCCCCGGGCUCAACCUGGGAACGGCAUCCGGAACUGUCAGGCUGGAGUGCAGGAGAGGAAGGUAGAAUUCCCGGUGUAGCGGUGAAAUGCGUAGAGAUCGGGAGGAAUACCAGUGGCGAAGGCGGCCUUCUGGACUGACACUGACGCUGAGGUGCGAAAGCGUGGGUAGCAAACAGGAUUAGAUACCCGAGUAGUC
rnacentral:rRNA from 1 species